rnacentral:rRNA from 1 species
UACGGAGGGGGCGAGCGUUAUUCGGAAUUAUUGGGCGUAAAGGGCGCGUAGGCGGCCCGGUAAGUCAAAGGUGAAAUCCCUCGGCUCAACUGAGGAACUGCCUUUGAAACUGUCGGGCUUGAGGCCGGGAGGGGGUAGCGGAAUUCCCAGUGUAGCGGUGAAAUGCGUAGAUACUGGGAGGAACACCGGUGGCGAAGGCGGCUACCUGGACCGGUUCUGACGCUGAUGCGCGAAAGCGUGGGUAGCAAACAGG